rnacentral:rRNA from 1 species
UACGGGGGGGGCAAGCGUUGCUCGGAAUCACUGGGCGUAAAGGGUGCGUAGGCGGGUCUUUAAGUCGGGGGUGAAAUCCUGGAGCUCAACUCCAGAACUGCCUUUGAUACUGAAGAUCUUGAGUUCGGGAGAGGUGAGUGGAACUGCGAGUGUAGAGGUGAAAUUCGUAGAUAUUCGCAAGAACACCAGUGGCGAAGGCGGCUCACUGGCCCGAUACUGACGCUGAGGCACGAAAGCGUGGGGAGCAAACAGG